rnacentral:rRNA from 1 species
CGACCGGCGCACGGGUGAGUAACGCGUAUCCAACCUGCCCACCACUUGGGGAUAACCUUGCGAAAGUAAGACUAAUACCCAAUGAUAUCUCUAGAAGACAUCUGAAAGAGAUUAAAGAUUUAUCGGUGAUGGAUGGGGAUGCGUCUGAUUAGCUUGUUGGCGGGGUAACGGCCUACCAAGGCAACGAUCAGUAGGGGUUCUGAGAGGAAGGUCCCCCACAUUGGAACUGAGACACGGUCCAA